rnacentral:ncRNA from 4 species
UGGGUGGUGGUGCAUGGCCGUU